rnacentral:rRNA from 1 species
CGACUAAGCGUACACGGUGGAUGCCCUGGCAGUCAGAGGCGAUGAAGGGCGUGCUAAUCUGCGAUAAGCGCCGGUAAGGUGAUAUGAACCGUUAUAACCGGCGAUACCCGAAUGGGGAAACCCAGUGUGACUCGUCACACUAUCAUUAACUGAAUCCAUAGGUUAAUGAGGCGAACCGGGGGAACUGAAACAUCUAAGUACCCCGAGGAAAAGAAAUCAACCGAGAUUCCCCCAGUAGCGGCGAGCGAACGGGGAGGAGCCCAGAGCCUGAAUCAGCAUGUGUGUUAGUGGAAGCGUCUGGAAAGGCGCGCGAUACAGGGUGACAGCCCCGUACACAAAAGCGCAUGUGCUGUGAGCUCGAUGAGUAGGGCGGGACACGUGGUAUCCUGUCUGAAUAUGGGGGGACCAUCCUCCAAGGCUAAAUACUCCUGACUGACCGAUAGUGAACCAGUACCGUGAGGGAAAGGCGAAAAGAACCCCGGCGAGGGGAGUGAAAAAGAACCUGAAACCGUGUACGUACAAGCAGUGGGAGCACAGGUUUACCUGUGUGACUGCGUACCUUUUGUAUAAUGGGUCAGCGACUUAUAUUCUGUAGCAAGGUUAACCGAAUAGGGGAGCCGGAGGGAAACCGAGUCUUAAUUGGGCGUUAAGUUGCAGGGUAUAGACCCGAAACCCGGUGAUCUAGCCAUGGGCAGGUUGAAGGUUGGGUAACACUAACUGGAGGACCGAACCGACUAAUGUUGAAAAAUUAGCGGAUGACCUGUGGCUGGGGGUGAAAGGCCAAUCAAACCGGGAGAUAGCUGGUUCUCCCCGAAAGCUAUUUAGGUAGCGCCUCGUGAAUUCAUCUCCGGGGGUAGAGCACUGUUUCGGCUAGGGGGCCAUCCCGGCUUACCAACCCGAUGCAAACUGCGAAUACCGGAGAAUGUUAUCACGGGAGACACACGGCGGGUGCUAACGUCCGUCGUGAAGAGGGAAACAACCCAGACCGCCAGCUAAGGUCCCAAAGUCAUGGUUAAGUGGGAAACGAUGUGGGAAGGCCCAGACAGCCAGGAUGUUGGCUUAGAAGCAGCCAUCAUUUAAAGAAAGCGUAAUAGCUCACUGGUCGAGUCGGCCUGCGCGGAAGAUGUAACGGGGCUAAACCAUG